GGUGAAGGAAAAUCCACUCACCCUUAGGAUGAGAUUAGAACGAGAGGAUGAGCUUUGAGAUGCAUCUGUUAAGGCUGUUAAUCUACUCGAUGGAAGUCCAGAGUUGAUGUUUGAAACUACCAAAGUUGAGGUUUUGUGAGGAUUCUGAGUCUCUGAACUGAAUCUUACUUUGUAUGUGUGGCUAUAUGUUUCUAUAUCCACCUCUUCUGUUCUAAAUGAUUAAUCUAUGAAACGAAGACAGGCAUAAAACGCUGAUUCUAUGAAAGAUGUUUGUUUGAUGAGCUUGCAUGUGAUGUUUAUGGAUGAUAUGCCUCUGUUAUGAAAAAGUAUAUGCAUGAUGAAUAUGUAAAGGAAGAAUGAGCUCAAUGAUAUGUUUCUAUUCUAAAGGAAAAUGUAUGUAUGUAUGUAUGUAUGAGUGUGUGCGGAAGUAUGUCUCUGUUUGUUAUAAGUCUCUGCAUGAGUCUGAAAGCACAAUUCUCUUUGUCAUGAAAAGAGUCUGCAUGUGAAGGGAAACGUGUGUUUUUGUCUCUACAUGAGGAGUUUGUGCAUGAGUUGCGUAAGUUUGCAUGUUGAGUCUACUUGCGUAUGAGUCUGCCAGGACAAUAAACACAAAUUUUGAUAAGGAAAAACCGUGGUCAUGGCAAAAAGACCAUAUAGUAUAAGACCUAAUUUGGGACUAUAGCAUCAUAUAGGGAUACGAAAACCACAUAGUGUAACACCUAGUUUGGGACUCUGACAUCAUGUGGGGAAAGAAGAUGAAUGACGGUUGGAAGAGUACCAAGCAAUGAGGGGAAAAUCUCAUAACGUUAAGUUUAGGCAAAUCCUUAUCGUCGAAAACACCAUUUACUGAAAUGUGGAAGCCUUUGUGGUUAUUCUUUGAUAAGUGGAAGCCUAUGUAGCUGUCCUCUGUUAUACGUGAGUCUCUACGACGAUAUUUGUUAUAUAAAGUCUUAGAACGAGUUUGGAUGGGCGAUUGGGUGCGGUACGGUACGUUACGUUUAGUUUACUUUUUGUUUUACGUUACAGUAUCGCUACAGUAUCUAAUCUCACCGCUACCGCUGUUUUUACAUUAAUUGCAGGUAAAUGCGCCGCCCAUCCAAACUCACCCUUAGUGGACAACUCUAUGAAUGCACCUUCGUGGCUAAAUAUGUUAAAGUGGAUGUCUUUGUGGUUGAUUCUCUUCUAUAAGAGCCUUCGAGGCUGUAUCCAUUAAAUGCGCUCCCGUGGCGAAGUCUAUCAAAGUGGAUGUCUCUGUGGCCAUCUAACUAUAUGGACAUCUCUAUGGCUAUCUUCUAUAUGAGUUUGGACGCCCUUGAGGCUAUUUAAUGUGAGUAGGUUCCUUUGUGGCUAUCUGAUAUUAUGUGGACGCCUUUGUGUUCAUCUAACUCUAACUAUAUGGACGACUCUAUGGCUAUCUUGUAUAUGUGUUUGGACGCUCUUGCGGCUAUCUAUGUCAAAGAAAGACUUCUGUGGUUAUCUAUGUCAAGUGUACGCCUUUAUGGUGCAGUCGGUAAAAUUGGCCUUCGUGGUAAUGUUUCGAAGACAAUGUUGAUUGAGCGAACUUUGAAUGAAAGCGCAACCAACGAGCUUGAGACGAUGAAAGACUGGUGAGGAGGAUUUUAUGCUGAAAGAGGACGAAGCCUACCUUGUCCACCAGAAUGAAAGGUGAAUUAGAACAUAUUUCAUGAGUUCAAGCCCACAAGUGGAACAAUUGUGACUAAGGUAAGAAUGCUUACAGAGUGCAAAAGAAGAUACAGUAAGUGAAGGUUUAAUAUUCGUAACACUAAUUUUAGUAAGUACCUGCUUAAGAAGUACAGGAAAGUGCAAUGUUCUGAGCUUAACAAGAAAUAAUAAAUAAUUGUGUGAAAGUUGUCUCACU